UUGGUUUGUCCUAAGUCAAACUUGUUCAACUUUGACCAAAUUUAUCUAAAAAUAGAACAACAACUAUAUUAUCAAAUAUAUGAAUCAUAAUCUAUGGUGGAUUGAACCAAACAAAUUUGGUAUUGUAAAUAUUGUUAUAUUUUUAUAUAAAAUUGGUCAAAGUUGAACAAGUUUGACUUAGGACAAACCAAA
rnacentral:pre_miRNA from 1 species